GCAGUCGAACGAUGAAGGGAAGCUUGCUUCUUGGAUUAGUGGCGAACGGGUGAGUAACACGUGAGUAACCUGCCCUUGACUCUGGGAUAAGCACUGGAAACGGUGUCUAAUACCGGAUACGAACUUCCACCGCAUGGUGAGGAGUUGGAAAGAAUUUUGGUCAAGGAUGGACUCGCGGCCUAUCAGCUAGUUGGUGAGGUAAUGGCUCACCAAGGCGACGACGGGUAGCCGGCCUGAGAGGGUGACCGGCCACACUGGGACUGAGACACGGCCCAGACUCCUACGGGAGGCAGCAGUGGGGAAUAUUGCACAAUGGGCGCAAGCCUGAUGCAGCAACGCCGCGUGAGGGACGAAGGCCUUCGGGUUGUAAACCUCUUUUAGUAGGGAAGAAGCGUAAAAGUGACGGUACCUGCAGAAAAAGCACCGGCUAACUACGUGCCAGCAGCCGCGGUAAUACGUAGGGUGCAAGCGUUAUCCGGAAUUAUUGGGCGUAAAGAGCUCGUAGGCGGUUUGUCGCGUCUGCUGUGAAAUCUGGGGGCUCAACCCCCAGCCUGCAGUGGGUACGGGCAGACUAGAGUGCGGUAGGGGAGAUUGGAAUUCCUGGUGUAGCGGUGGAAUGCGCAGAUAUCAGGAGGAACACCAAUGGCGAAGGCAGAUCUCUGGGCCGUAACUGACGCUGAGGAGCGAAAGCAUGGGGAGCGAACAGGAU
rnacentral:rRNA from 1 species